rnacentral:rRNA from 1 species
AUUGAACGCUGGCGGCAGGCCUAACACAUGCAAGUCGAACGAGUGGCGGACGGGUGAGUAAUGUCUGGGAACCUGCCCGAUGGAGGGGGAUAACUACUGGAAACGGUAGCUAAUACCGCAUACCAUCGGAUGUGCCCAGAUGGGAUUAGCUAGUAGGUGGGGUAACGGCUCACCUAGGCGACGCUCCCUAGCUGGUCUGAGAGGAUGACCAGACACACUGGAACUGAAACACGGUCCAGACUCCUACGGGAGGCAGCAGUGGGGAAGAUUGCACAAGGGGCGAAAGCCGGAUGCAGCCAUGCCGCGUGUAUGAAGAAGGCCUUCGGUUUGUAAAGUACUUUCAUCGAGGAGGCGUUACUCGCAGAAGAAGCACCGGCUAACUCCGUGCCAGCCGCCGCGGUAAUAC